AACACCAGACGGACCUUAAGACAACCUGAAUCGACACAAGUACCGUACAUCGGUUCAUGUCAUCUGAAGGUUCAUGUUGUCUAAAGGUUCAUGUCGUCUAAUGCAAAGGUUCAUGUUAUCUGAAGAUUCAUGUCUAACGUAAAGGUUUGUGUUGUCAAAUGGUUCAUGUUGUCUAAUGUUCAUGUUGUCUAACGUAAAGGUUUAUGUCGUCUAAUGGUUCAUGUUGUCUAACGUAAAGGUUUAUGUCGUCUAAUGGUUCAUGUUGUCUAACGUAAAGGUUUAUGUCGUCUAAUGGUUCAUGUUGUCUAACGUAAAGGUUUAUGUCGUCUAAUGGUUCAUGUUGUCUAACGUAAAGGUUUAUGUCGUCUAAUGGUUCAUGUUGUCUAACGUAAAGGUUUAUGUCGUCUAAUGGUUCAUGUUGUCUAACGUAAAGGUUUAUGUCGUCUAAUGGUUCAUGUUGUCUAACGUAAAGGUUUAUGUCGUCUAAUGGUUCAUGUUGUCUAACGUAAAGGUUUAUGUCGUCUAAUGGUUCAUGUUGUCUAACGUAAAGGUUUAUGUCGUCUAAUGGUUCAUGUUGUCUAAUGUAAAGGUUCAUGUUGGGGAGUAAAGGUAGAAUAAAGGUGGACUAAAUGUAGAUUAAAGUUGGACUAAAGGAAGGUGGU